rnacentral:sRNA from 1 species
GCUGAGCGCAGUGGCGCAUGCCUGUAAUCCCAGUGGCUUGGGAGGCUGAGACAGGAGAAUCGUGGAUUCAAAGCUAACCUUAGCAACAGUGAGGCGCUAAGCAACUCAGUGAGACCCUGUCUCUA